GUUAUGUUUAUGAGUUUAUGAGCACCAUACGAGACAUCAACCCCCAGAACAACCUCACCUUCCUCCGGAUUCACUCCAAGAAGAACGAGAUCAUGAUCGCUCCAGAUAAGGACUAUUUCUUGAUCGUCAUUCAGAACCCCUCGGACUGAAAAAGGAGGAGCUGCUGCCCGACUCAUUACUCUCUUUGUCUUUCAUAUUUAAACAGUCAAACAUUUUCUUUGUCCCGCUAAAAUCAAACAAACCUGUUUACCAGAAGCUUUUUAUGCACUUGCUGUACCAGAAAGUAACGACAGGAUUUGAAGGUGAAUGAAAUUGAAUCACUGCUCAAUGACGAGAUGUGUGAACCGUACGCCAGUCAGUCGAUCACUCUGCAGGCAAAUUAAUUUUUUCCAUGUUUUAGCAUUCCAGUUGGGCCUCUUCUCUUUGCAUACUGGACAUUAUGUCACUGUGUUUAUUUCAGAGGUAUUUUAGCAUGCGAUGAAAAGUGCACACCUGCUAAAAUACCUCUGGCUUAAAACUGCACCAGUGCAUUCAUGUCUGCACAGUGUAGAAGAGAGAGACCACAGCACAUCUUUAAGUUUGAGGAGGUUUUUCAGUUCCAUCUUAAUGGAAAACUUUGGAUUAUUAUUUAUUAUAGUGUUGGCAAAAAAUGUUGAAGUGCAGUAUUUCACUGGUGAGCAGCGAACUACACUACAAAGACUUCUCUGCUCUGCCAUGUCAAGUUUCUGAUGGUUAUUUUUAACAAAUUAAGAAAUUAAAAAAAGUCAAAAUGUU